GUAUAGCGCUUUUUCACAUAUUAAAUAUUAGUCCAAGCGCUUUAUAAUGCUUAUAAUUGUUAAUUUAUAGAUGUAAAAUUGUGUUUUGAGUGUACACUGAACUGCAUUUCAUAAUGUGUGGCCGCCACCUUUCUGUAUUAACCUAUAGAUGUCCAAUUUGAUGUCAUUUCUAGAGUUUUAAUAUAGUUUUUUUUAGGAGCCACAAGAUUCAACAUCUAUCAUCGUUGACAGCACUGAAAGAUUUGAUGGACUUUAAUCAUUAUUUUUUUACAUUUGGUCUACAAUUCAGAGCUUUUCCUUGGUUUCGCACAAUGAAAGCACAAUGUGUCGACGUGUAAACUUUAAGCCAUGACUGAUUCGUAGACCAAUUUUGUCUCGAAUAUUUUUCUUGUGUGACACAUUUUGUGCAAUAAAUAUCUAAUGAAGUACUUUGUCAGUUCUGCUAUUGUUUUAAUGUUACGAACUAAACAUGUGUUUCAAGGUAUACCGUGGUAUGUCAACGUCAAGGUUUCAAAACGGCAAAAAUUCUUAAGCUACUAGACAUUUUAUACAUCCAAAAAAUGCAUGGAAAAAUCCCUCGCUGGCAGCUGCAAGGCUCAAUCGGUGGCUGGAGGAGGUGCAAUUCCUGACAUUUGGGGGACAUGUCCUGGUCAUAUCAGGUCAUUCAGGGGACAUGUCCUGGUCAUGUCAGGUAAUUUGGGGACAUUUCGGGGACAAUUGGUGGUUAGAUAACUUCCUGUUGAUUUGGGGAUAUGUCCUGGUUAUAUCAGGACAUUUGGGGUCAUGUCCUGGUCAUUUGGGGGACAUGUCCUGGUCGUAUCAGGUCAUUUGGGGACAUUUAAGGGACAUAUCCUGGUCAUAUAAGGUCUUUGGGGGACAUGUCCUGGUCAUUUCAGGUAAUUUGGGGAAAGGUCCUGGCCAUAUCAGGUCAUUUGGGGGACAUGUCCUGGUCAUUUGGGGGCAUGUCCUGGUCAUAUCAGGUAAUUUGGGGGACAUGUCCUGGUCACAUCAGGUCAUGUGGGGACAUUUAAGGGACAUAUCCUGGUCAUAUAAUGUCUUUGGGGGACAUGUCCUGGUCAUGUCAGGUAAUUUGGGGACAGGUCCUGGCCUUAUCAGGUCAUUUGGGGACAUUUGGGGGACACAUCCUGAUCAUUUGGGGACAUUUGGGGGACACGUCCUGGUCAUAUCAGGUAAUUUGGGACACUUGUGGGACAUGUCCUGGUCACAUCAGGUCAUGUGGGGACAUUUGGGGGACAUGUCCUCGUCAUGUCAGGUCAUUUAGGGGACAUGUCUUGGUUAUAUCAGGUCAUUUGGGGACAUUUAAGGGACAUGUCCUGGUCAUAUAAUGUCUUAGAGGGACAUGUCCUGGUCAUGUCAGGUAAUUUGGGGACAGGUCCUGGCCGUAUCAGGUCAUUUGGGGACAUUUGGGGGACACGUUCUGGUCAUAUCAGGUAAUUUGGGGACACUUGUGGGACAUGUCCUGGUCAUAUCAGGUCAUGUGGGGAAAUUUGGGGGACAUGUCCUGGUCAUGUCAGGUCAUUUAGGGGACAUGUCUUGGUUAUAUCAGGUCAUUUGGGGACAUUUAAGGGACAUAUCCUGGUCAUAUAAUGUCUUUGGGGGACAUGUCUUGGUCAUGUCAGGUAAUUUGGGGACAGGUCCUGGCCGUAUCAGGUCAUUUGGGGACAUGUCCUGGUCAUAUCAGGUAAUUUGGGGACACUUGGGGGACAUGUCCUGGUCAUAUCAGGUCAUGCGCGGACUUUGGGGGGACAUGUCCUGGUCAUAUCAGGUAAUCUGGGGACACCUGGGGGACAUGUCCUGGUUAUAUCAGGUUAUUUGGGGGACAUGUCCUAUUGAUAUCUGGCCAUUUCCAAAGAACGCUACUCUUAAUGGAAGAAAUGGUAACAAUCAAAACGGGUUGAACUUUUCAAGUUUUGCCUUCAUUCCUCCCCUCGAUAGAUGGCAGUAGUUCAACUACAACCUCCGCCCAAAUGCUUCAAAAAGGAAGAAUACAAACAAGCUGCAGCUCAAAAGAUGCUAAUUUAACCGGACGUCACACGCAUUUAUACACAUUUUAGUAACAAUUGUCCGUAUGUGUUUUCGUUUGUAUUUUAAAAAGACGAAAAUUAUCAUGAAAAUUUUUUGGGGGGGAGGUCAAAGUUUGCGAAUGGGCGGAGUUUCGUGCAUGUAUAUAUAACGAAGGACGCCAUUGCUGCUUCCGUUUCUUGCUUUCAAAGUGAAGAGAUGGAGCCAGAUCGAGUUGAGUUGAUCCACUCAGAUGGAACGUGUUCAAAAGUCUACGUCAGCAUCUGGAUGGUCUUCUAGUCUUCAAAGAUGGGCCUGAAAACUGCGGCUGUGAUCGGAUUUCGGCGUGCCUGCGAAACUCGUAGCUCGUGGCGACAAAAUGGGCGAUGCUGACUGCCUCGAUGUCCUUGAUGGUGCUUGACUUCAAAUCCAUCAGCAUCAGGUACUUUUUUUGUUGUUGUCGUUUUAAUGGUGCGAUGAUGAUGACACUUAGCUCACUUUGACUUGCUGUGAAACGACAAGAACACCUGAGCACCUCAAUCUAAUGUUUUUUUUUCACACGACUAAAACAGAAACUAAAGUCUGUCCUUGUCUCCGCAGGUGAAGGUGAGUCCGCGAGGUUGCGUCGACGCUAUUUUAGCGCUGGACUCGAAAAUGAUGAGACAAUAUUGGAAUCUCGUUCGUCUGAGCAACUGAUGAGAAACUAAAAUCUGACGCGGUUCAAGCUAGAGUGACGUCACGAACGCACCCUUAUCUCCAAGACUGACUUUUUUUCCCUUGUCGUCCCACAGAUGUGAUCGUCUCUGGACCCCCAAGCAGGUGGACGGCAGCCAUUUUGCAGAGGUUGGGGUGGGUCAGGCUAGAAUGACGUCAAACGCACCCUCAUCUCCAAGACUUGAGUUUCCCAUUGUCGUCCCAUAGAUGCGAUACUCUCGGCCCCCGAGCAGGUGGACGGCAGCCAUUUUGUGGAGGUUGGACUGCUCUUUUUGGUGUCAUGUGGAUAUUAAGUGAAUGUCUUUUCGAAUAAAAAAUUUGUAAUAUUCAUUUUGUCUUGGGAGUUAUUCUUGACAAUUUGCAGUUUGGCUUCAGAGCAAGUUUAUUUACAAAAAUUUUAGACAAUACAAAAUAAUAGCUUAGGUCGCUAACACUAGUGGCUAUAGAUGUCCAAUCCAUUUGCAGUGGGAGGGAUGUUAAUUCAAUGCCAUCCCUCCCACUGCGAAUUGAUUGGCCGUCUACCAGCAUUAAAUUAACACAACUGAACAUAUCUUGGUCAAUCAGCGUUGAAGAUCCUUGCCGCUAUAUCAUCCAACAACCAGUCCACUCCUGCGAGAAGAUUCUGUCCCGUCACUGCGCUGCAUGCAAUCAAACACCAGUGAUGGUUCUUGAUGUCAUCCAGGGCCAACGCCU